rnacentral:rRNA from 1 species
GAUGAACGCUGGCGGCGUGCCUAAUACAUGCAAGUCGAGCGAAUGGAUUAAGAGCUUGCUCUUAUGAAGUUAGCGGCGGACGGGUGAGUAACACGUGGGUAACCUGCCCAUAAGACUGGGAUAACUCCGGGAAACCGGGGCUAAUACCGGAUAACAUUUUGAACCGCAUGGUUCGAAAUUGAAAGGCGGCUUCGGCUGUCACUUAUGGAUGGACCCGCGUCGAAUUAGCUAGUUGGUGAGGUAACGGCUCACCAAGGCAACGAUGCGUAGCCGACCUGAGAGGGUGAUCGGCCACACUGGGACUGAGACACGGCCCAGACUCCUACGGGAGGCAGCAGUAGGGAAUCUUCCGCAAUGGACGAAAGUCUGACUGAGCAACGCCGCGUGAGUGAUGAAGGCUUUCGGGUCGUAAAACUCUGUUGUUAGGGAAGAACAAGUGCUAGUUGAAUAAGCUGGCACCUUGACGGUACCUAACCAGAAAGCCUCGGCUAACUACGUGCCAGCCGCCGCAGUAA